AUGGAUAGGGUGACCAAUUUCUUCGGAGCGCAGUGGGACACGACGACGACGAGCCUCUCUGAGUCCUGCGGCAACCUAUACAAGUUCCUUUUGCCCAGGUUCUGGCGUCCUGUGAGUCAACCGGAUGAUUGUGAUGCUGCCUUCACUAACGCAACCUCAGAGCGACGUCUUCAUGAUCCUGAGAGGGCACUGGUCGUGAUGUAUGGCGAUCGACAUCUAUACUACCUGAAUGCUGUUCCAUUUUUGAUUUCCGAUGAUGGUCCUUCUCCCCCCGCCAACACAGCCUCGACGCCGAUCGAUGGUGGUGUAGCACCGGCAGCAACACUAGCACGCUCUCCGGAUCCUCUUGCUCCCAGGGACCUCCUUACCCUGGAGACCAUACAGGGACCUCCACACCACCUGGAUGGUGAUACAUAUUCGAUUUCGGAUGAUGGUUCCUCUCCCUCCGUAAACACAACUUCGGAUGAUGGUUUCUCUCCCUCCGUAAACACAACCUCGACGCCGAUCGAUGGUGGUGCAGCACCGGCCCCAACACCAGCACGCUCUCCGGAUCCUCAUGCUCCUAGUACCCUGGAGACUGUUAGAAUAAAACCGAGGCAUACCGUUGAUCAUCCGAGGACCAAACAAUCACACCAGCACGACACCGAAAUUUGUUAA
rnacentral:rRNA from 1 species